GACACUUUCGCAGAGUGGGUCCCCGUCGCGCGGCGCCGCGGAAAGGCUGGAACGGCGCGGGUGGGUGUUAGUCGAGACCGGGGGGCGCGGGGCGUGCCCCUUGGUCGGCGUCGCAGCCCGAUGGGCUGGCUGGUUGCUACCUCCGGGCGACCAGGGGCCUGGGGACUUCGUGCCUGGGCCAGGGUCUCUUUCCUUUCGCGGGCACAGUGAGGAGACUGCGAGGUGAGGUGCGUCCGGGUGGAUCCCGGGCUGCGGCGACUGUCACAUUCUCCCCGGCCAGACCGGAGGUGGAGCAGAACUGGGGGCGACGAGCUUGACUGGGAUUGCAGCUGGACGUAUUUAGGUUCAAAACAUCCUCCUCCUGGCUUUCUUCCGCUCCACUCUUUGGUCAGGAAGACUGGGGCGGGGUACCCCCCAACCCAUGCCCUCAAAUUGCUGGCCUAGAGGGCACAGCGCCUUUCUAAAAGCUGCAGUUGGGUUGCCUCUAAAAUAAUGAAGCUAACCCUUGCUAAUUGUGGGGAAAAGAUAGCCAGAAGCAGCAAAUUUCUGCUGUGGACGUCCGAUAUAAACUGAUCCUCUUGAGAUGGUUAAUGCUUAGUUGGCUAUACCUGCCCCCCGCCCCCGCCGCUUUUUUUUCCUUUAUCCGUUUUUUUUUUUCUUUUUUCUUGAGACAAGGUCUUGCUCUGUGGCCCACGCUGGAGUGCAGUGUCAUGAUCAUAGCUCACUAGCCCUGAACUCCUGUGCUCAAGUAAUCCUCCCGCCUCGGCCUCCCAAAGUGCUAGGAUUAUAGGCAUGAGCUACUUUACCCAGCCUGUUUUUUUCUGUGCAAAUAAAUGCACAUGUAUUUUAGAUUAGUUUCAUUUUUAUUGUUAACAGCAUUUUUCCACCAGAUGCUUAUGGAUUGACAACUCUACAUCAAGUGUUGCUGUAGGCUAGGAAUCAACAAAACUUUUUGUAUAAAAGGGACAGAAAGCAAAUAUUUUAGACUCUGCAGGUCAGGAGGCAAGAUCAAGGAUUUUUUUUUUUCUAAAUGUCCUCUAGUUCAUAUUUUCUCAUGAAGAUCGAGGAUCUUAAUUGUUUGGUUUUUUUUUUUUUUUGAGACACAGUCUUGCUCUCUCUCGCCCAAGCUGGAGUGCAGUGGUGUGAUCUCGGUUCACUGCAACCUCUGCCUCCCGUGCUCAAGCAAUUCUCCUGCCUCAGCCUCCAGG
rnacentral:lncRNA from 1 species